CGGGGACUGUGGAGCCGAUGGGGCUUUGCCCUGGCCGGCUCUGGGGGCCACGCAGAGCCGCUGUCUCUGGGCCCUGCACACAGGCCUGCUCUCCUUCCUCUGCCCCUCAAGCCUCUGUCGCUCCCUUCUGGCCUUGUGUGGUCAAAAACCACGAAACCGCUGGUCUUCUAGAGAACGCUUUCAUUUCCUUCUUCUGA
rnacentral:lncRNA from 1 species